rnacentral:rRNA from 1 species
UACGGAGGGUGCGAACGUUAAUCGGAAUCACUGGGCGUAAAGCGCGCGUAGGCGGUUUGUUAAGUGGGAUGUGAAAUCCCCCGGGCUUAACCUGGGAAUUGCAUUUCAAACUGGCCGACUAGAGUACGGUAGAGGGAGGUAGAAUUUCCUGUGUAGCGGUGAAAUGCGUAGAUAUAGGAAGGAAUACCAGUGGCGAAGGCGGCCUCCUGGACCAAUUCUGACACUGAGGAGCGAAAGCCAGGGGAGCAAACGGG